GUCGGAGUGGCGGAAUUGGCAGACGCGCCAGCCUUAGGAGCUGGUGAGGCAACUCGUGGGAGUUCAACUCUCCCCUCCGACA
rnacentral:tRNA from 1 species